GAUGAACGCUAGCGGAAGGCUUAAUACAUGCAAGUCGAGCGGUAGGUGGCUUCGGCCAUUGAGAGCGGCGCACGGGUGAGUAACGCGUACAUGACCUGCCUGUCAGAAGGGGAUAGCCCUGGGAAACUGGGAUUAAUACCCUAUGGUAUUGAUAUUAUGAAUGAUAUCAAUUAAAGUUGAGGCGCUGACAGAUGGAUGUGCGUCUGAUUAGCUAGUUGGUAGGGUAACGGCCUACCAAGGCGACGAUCAGUAGGGGGCGUGAGAGCGUGGUCCCCCACACGGGUACUGAGACACGGACCCGACUCCUACGGGAGCAGCAGUAAGGAAUAUUGGUCAAUGGAGGAACUCUGAACCAGCCAUGCCGCGUGAAGGAUGACGGCCCUCUGGGUU
rnacentral:rRNA from 1 species